rnacentral:lncRNA from 10 species
GCAACAGGUGAAAUUAGCUUAAUUAUAUAUAUUUUAUUGAACCCAAUGUAGUCAAAAUAUUAUCACUUCGGCAUAUGCCACAUUUAAAAGUUGAGAAAUUUUACAUUCUUUUCUUCGUAAGUCUGCAAAUCUAAUUCAGAUGCAAAAUUUUCCUCAAAAAUACUUAACUGUAUUUAGAUUACAUAAAAUCAAAGAUACAAAAGUAGAUUAAUAUAAUCAAGUCGUUCCAAGUAUGCUUAAUAUUCUAUCAAUAACUGAAUUUAAGUCAAUUACAAUAAAAACUUUAGUUCCUCAUCUCACUAGUCCCAUUCCAAGGACUCAACAGCCAAAUGCCACUACUACUAGGAUGGUUCAGCUUCAGGCAGAACUGUGGCCGCUUACUUCAGCACAACUCAAUUCAAUGAGCACAAACUAAAUAAAAAUCAUUUUCUUUCCCCUUUGUCUCCUAAGAUAGCUAUUUUCUAGGCCCCUUAACUAAAAGAGUAGCUGUCAUUUUCUCUACUGCCUUUAUCGCUACAUGGUAAGAUAUUAUUUGUCACUCUAUUACACAAAUGCUAUCAGGGCAAAGGAUGGGUCCACUGUGUUCACACUUCAAACUGCAAGAAACUACAGUCUACAUAGCAAACUGUAGGAAGUCAGUAUGUAACUAAGAGGGUUUCAAGCACUGCUAAAUUAUUUAACAUGUGUAUCUAUG